rnacentral:rRNA from 1 species
AGUCGAGCGAAGGAUUAGAGCUUGCUCUUAUGAAGUUAGCGGCGGACGGGUGAGUAACACGUGGGUAACCUGCCCAUAAGACUGGGAUAACUCCUGGGAAACCGGUGGCUAAUACCGGAUAACAUUUUGAACUGCAUGGUUCGAAAUUGAAAGGCGGCUUCGGCUGUCACUUAUGGAUGGACCCGCGUCCCAUUAGCUAGUUGGUGAGGUAACGGCUCACCAAGGCAACGAUGCGUAGCCGACCUGAGAGGGUGAUCGGCCACACUGGGACUGACACACGGCCCAGACUCCUACGGGAGGCAGCAGUAGGGAAUCUUCCGCAAUGGACGAAAGUCUGACGGAGCAACGCCGCGUGAGUGAUGAAGGCUUUCGGGUCGUAAAACUCUGUUGUUAGGGAAGAACAAGUGCUAGUUGAAUAAGCUGGCACCUUGACGGUACCUAACCAGAAAGCCACGGCUAACUACGUGCCAGCAUCCGCGGUAAUACGUAGGUGGCAAGCGUUAUCCGGAAUUAUUGGGCGUAAAGCGCGCGCAGGUGGUUUCUUAAGUCUGAUGUGAAAGCCCACGGCUCAACCGUGGAGGGUCAUUGGAAACUGGGAGACUUGAGUGCAGAAGAGGAAAGUGGAAUUCCCUGUGUACCGGUGAAAUGCGUAGAGAUAUGGAGGAACACCAGUGGCGAAGGCGACUUUCUGGUCUGUAACUGACACUGAAGAGCGAAAGCGCGGGGAGUCAACAGGAUUAUAUACCCUGGUAGUCCACGCCGUAAACAAUGAGUGCUAAGUGUUAGAGGGCUUCCGCCCUUUAGUGCUCAACUAACGCAUUAAGCACUCCGCCUGGGGAGUACGGCCGCAAGGCUGAAACUCAAAGGAAUUGACGGGGGCCCGCACAAGCGGUGGAGCAUGUGGUUUAAUUCGAAGCAACGCGAAGAACCUUACCAGGUCUUGACAUCCUCUGAAAACCCUAGAGAUAGGGCUUCUCCUUCGGGAGCAGAGUGACAGGUGGUGCAUGGUUGUCGUCAGCUCGUGUCGUGAGAUGUUGGGUUAAGUCCCGCAACGAGCGCAACCCUUGAUCUUAGUUGCCAUCAUUAAGUUGGGCACUCUAAGGUGACUGCCGGUGACAAACCGGAGGAAGGUGGGGAUGACGUCAAAUCAUCAUGCCCCUUAUGACCUGGGCUACACACGUGCUACAAUGGACGGUACAAAGAGCUGCAAGACCGCGAGGUGGAGCUAAUCUCAUAAAACCGUUCUCAGUUCGGAUUGUAGGCUGCAACUCGCCUACAUGAAGCUGGAAUCGCUAGUAAUCGCGGAUCAGCAUGCCGCGGUGAAUACGUUCCCGGGCCUUGUACACACCGCCCGUCACACCACGAGAGUUUGUAACACCCGAAGUCGGGGGGUAACCUUUUGGAGCCAGCCGC